UAUACCAAUUAAGCGCCAGCUCUGUGCGAACAGAAGACGAGGAGAGAGUUAAUCGAUAUGUCGGCGGGUGGCUCUCAGGGUACGCGCUCUUUAGUAUUUUAAGAAACCUGAUUGUGAGAUGAGACUAAACUUAAAAUACAUGCGUUUG
rnacentral:ncRNA from 2 species